rnacentral:rRNA from 1 species
UUAUUUGAAAUAGGAUACAACCUCCACCACUGGGUAAAGGGGAAAUAAUAAAAACAAAGUGGGCCCAAAAGCAGCCACCUAUAAAAAAGCGUCAAAGCUUGACUUUUAUAACCCAUAAUUACUAAAACAUCCACUAACCCAUCACUUCUACUGAACCAUUUUAUAUUAUUAUAAAAACGAUUAUGCUAGAACUAGUAACAAGAACUUGCCAUUCUCCACAAUGCAAAUAUAAACCAAAACGGACUCCCCAUUGGUGAUCAACGUAAAUGCAAAACCAUAACAACACACAAACCAGAAAACCUUAUGGUCACUGACACGUUACCCUAACACUAGAGCAUUACAGGAAAGAUUAAAAGAAAGAGAAGGAACUCGGCAAAUUUUAGCCCCGCCUGUUUACCAAAAACAUCGCCUCCUGCUUAAAUAUAGGAGGUCCAGCCUGCCCAGUGAUAACAUUCAACGGCCGCGGUAUUCUGACCGUGCGAAGGUAGCAUAAUCACUUGUUCUUUAAAUAGGGACUUGUAUCAACGGCAUCACGAGGGCUAUACUGUCUCCCCUCUCCAAUCAGUGAAACUGAUCCCCCCGUGAAGAAGCGGGGAUCUAAUU